UACCUGGUUGAUCCUGCCAGUAGUCAUAUGCUUGUCUCAAAGAUUAAGCCAUGCAAGUCUAAGUACGAGCUCUCGUACAGUGAAACUGCGAAUGGCUCAUUAAAUCAGUUAUGGUUCAUUUGAUCGUACAGUUUACUUGGAUAACUGUGGUAAUUCUAGAGCUAAUACAUGCGAGA
rnacentral:ncRNA from 1 species